rnacentral:rRNA from 1 species
UAGAGUUUGAUCCUGGCUCAGGAUGAACGCUAGCGGCAGGCCUAAUACAUGCAAGUCGAGGGGUAAGAGUCAGCUUGCUGACUACACGACCGGCGCACGGGUGAGUAACGCGUAUGCAACCUACCUUUAACAGAGGAAUAGCCCCGAGAAAUCGGGAUUAAUACCACAUAACAUUAUGAUAUGGCAUCAUAUUAUAAUUAAAACUCUGGUGGUUAAAGAUGGGCAUGCGUGACAUUAGCUUGUUGGUGAGGUAACUGCUCACCAAGGCAACGAUGUCUAGGGGUUCUGAGAGGAUGAUCCCCCACACUGGUACUGAGACACGGACCAGACUCCUACGGGAGGCAGCAGUAAGGAAUAUUGCGCAAUGGAGGAAACUCUGACGCAGCCAUGCCGCGUGCAGGAUUGAAGGC